CACACACUUCCAUUAAUAGCAUAACUCCAAAGCAGAUGGAGAAUGUUUUAAUUUGUGUCAAUUAUAUACAUAAUUUUUAACAUUGUUGUCAACUGUAGCCAAUCACCAAGGGCGUAUGGUAAAACUCCCCAAUUAGUAAUGAGGCAUAUAUUUGUAGAAAAAAGUUUCCAUUUUAGCAUCUGAUAUGACUCAAUCAAGUGUAAAGAAAAAUCUGAAUAUUUUCACCACGUACUCUCUUUACCCUUCCUCCUUCA
rnacentral:misc_RNA from 1 species